rnacentral:rRNA from 1 species
AGAUGAGUCUUCCCUGACGCUUUAAGCGUCCUAAAGGGUUGUUCGAGACUAGAACGUUGAUAGGCAGGGUGUGUAAGCGUUGUGAGGCGUUGAGCUAACCUGUACUAAUUGCCCGUGAGGCUUAACCAUACAACACCCAAGGGGUUU